CGGAAGCAGAAGCUGCUGGGCUGGGCCUCAGGGAUGCUGUAUUUGAAAAGCUCCCACGGGGGCUGGACGUGCAGCCCUGGUUCAGAAUCAGUGGCUUAAUCCCACAACGGCCGUUAAGCUAAAUCUACCCCCAAAAGAUGCUUUUCUCCUACUUUUCUGGGGCUGAUUCAGAUUUCCAUUCUGUCCCACUUUUCCUGCACUGUUUUCUGGUAUUAGCUAACCUCUCUGUGCCUUCAUCUCCCCACUUGUGGAAUGACUGCACCUGCGUUGUCGUGGUCGAACCUGCAAACAAUCCACGAGGAAGCCGGUCACAAAGGACCACGGGUUACCUGAUUCCAUUUGCGUGAGAUGUCCAGAAUGGCAAAGUUAUAGAGACAGAAGAAAACGUUUGCCGACCUCUGAUGCGGGCCGUCCUCUCCUCACCCUUAAGAUGGGUCAACGAAAUCGCAACUUGCUUCAUAGAGACUGUAAGGAUUACGGAACAGAAUGAACAUAAAAACGGCUUCGCAUUUACAGUAAACUCUCAAUAAAU
rnacentral:lncRNA from 1 species